rnacentral:rRNA from 1 species
UACGUAGGGUGCGAGCGUUGUCCGGAAUUACUGGGCGUAAAGAGCUCGUAGGUGGUUUGUCGCGUUGUUCGUGAAAACCGGGGGCUUAACCCUCGGCGUGCGGGCGAUACGGGCAGACUUGAGUACUGCAGGGGAGACUGGAAUUCCUGGUGUAGCGGUGGAAUGCGCGGAUAUCAGGAGGAACACCGGUGGCGAAGGCGGCAUCCUGGACCGGCAUUGACGCUGAGGAGCGAAAGCCAGGGGAGCAAACGGG